UCCCCUCACUCUCCUUUC
rnacentral:snRNA from 1 species